GGUGUGCAGACAAUCAAGACGAAAAAGAUUCGCGAAGUAACCGUCAUGAAUAAACAUUUCUCUUUCACUGUACUGCAAUGACUGUGGGAUCGGAAGAGAAGAGCAGACGUGGAGUAGAGAUGGAAGAAGAGCUGCUGCCAUAAAAUACUGUAACUGAGAGCGAAAAAAAGCGGUAUUCUUGGAUCUCGAAACAUGCGGCUAGGCAAAACGCCAGUCAUCUCGAAUUUUCAACGUCCGUUCUUUUUUCGUGCAGCUUCCCUUUUAACGAGAGAAGCGUCACAGAUGGGACAAAAUGUGAUCUGGAGAAGCGGAAGUGAUGUCGGAAAAACCCUGGCGACCUUGCGUUUCCUACAUAUUGUUCGUAUGCUCCAGUACCAGUCGUGUGUGUCCGGAGAAAGUCCGGCUUUUACCUAGGGACCCCCAAGGAGGAAUCUUGUGCUUAUGAAAAAGGGAUGCUUCGUCCAUGUACUGCCUUCGGAAGCUGGUGUAUACGUAAGCUGAUCACGUAGUAAUGUGACCAUCUGUCUCACCCCUUACCCAACAUGGUGCAUUUCACUGCCGCAGUUCUUCUUGGGUGUGACUGUCGCCGAGUUUGUUUCUCGAGGGUGAAGCCACGUGAACUCGCUCUUGUGUCUAACGCGGCAACGUAUGCGCAGCUGCAAUGUCGACACAAGUGCGCUACCUACAGAAGCGGCGCGGCAUCCAAUCACCGAUUCCGUUCAGUCCUGAACCUCGCAAGUGCACUACAAAAACUUCUUAUUAACUACCGAUCUACUUGCGAAUGGGGAGUCCUCUUGAGGCUAAACGACUGGAACGAGAUUUGGAGCUCUUCCGCCUGGUUCCCUGCCACUGCUAUAUGUAAACGUCUGAGUUGUUGAAUCGGCGCCACUCGAUAAACUGAUCAUGUCGGUACACGUAGUCUCUACCCCCUUGAUAACACUAGAUUUGAGAAACCUUCCUGUGGAAGUUGAUAAAAGUAUACCGUAAACUUUUUUUUCCAAUGGGAAAUUACUUUGUGCAAGGAUUUGUCCUAUUCGGCACCGGAGUACCCGGCUAGUCCAGAACAGAUCGUGCGCAGAAACCUCGGGCUUUUUUGUUGCGAUUCUCUGCAAACUGCUGUGGUUUCUAAAAUACCGUCAACUUCAAGUGAAGCACAACCGUCAGAGGAGUGCACUUGCUUUUCUAUCAAUGCUGUCGAGACCGCUUCACUAAACGAACUCAGAGUUGCACCAG
rnacentral:lncRNA from 1 species